rnacentral:rRNA from 1 species
UACGGGGGGGGCAAGCGUUGUUCGGAAUUACUGGGCGUAAAGGGCUCGUAGGCGGCCAACUAAGUCAGACGUGAAAUCCCUCGGCUUAACCGAGGAACUGCGUCUGAUACUGGAUGGCUUGAAUCCGGGAGAGGGAUGUGGAAUUCCAGGUGUAGCGGUGAAAUGCGUAGAUAUCUGGAGGAACACCGGUGGCGAAGGCGCUCAUCUGGCCCAAUACUGACGCUGAGGCGCGAAAGCCAGGGGAGCAAACGGG